GUUUCAGUAGUAUUUUGUUCCCUUCCAGUUUGUUCCUGUACUAAUAGUGUUAUGACAAUUGGAAUAUUUUUUGUUGGCGCCUUUGUUGGAGUCUUUGGAGUAAUAGUUGGAUUGAUCUGCUACAAAAAAAUUAAGCAGAAGACGCAUGCCAACGAGGAAGACACAGGAAAGAGAAAACAAGAUACGUACAUGGAAUACAAACCUACUGGUAAUGCCCAUAUUUACCAAGAUAUACACUUUACAGAAGAAGAAACAGCCGCAUGUUAGUGUUCAGCCGGGAAUGAAGAAGAACAAACUGAAAGAUUAGUUAAAAACAAAAGCAGUGGUUUUUUUUUUUUUUAACCCGGUCCUUUGAUAUUAUAUUUUCUUAUUCUUUGAAGCGAUUUCUUCUUGAAAUAUAAGAUUUUUCUAGAAAAUGUAUUUGUUAUGUAUGUUCAUUCUAAUUUAUGAAAAGUACUGUAGUCGACUGUCUGUACGAAUGUAAAUUAUAAUUUGAAUUACUUUUUUUUAAGAGUUUCGUAACUAGGGUAAAUAAAGUACCUGUUCCUAUGGUUUAUCUUCAUUUUCUACUAAAUUUAAAUGUAAUCAGAUUGUAUCUUCUCUGACGAGUUUAU